UACAGAGGGUGCGAGCGUUGUCCGGAAUCACUGGGCGUAAAGGGCGCGUAGGCGGCUUGAUAAGGUUGCGGUGAAAGCCCGGGGCUCAACCCCGGGUCGGCCGUGGCAACUGUCGAGCUGGAGCACUGUAGAGGCAGGUGGAAUUCCCGGUGUAGCGGUGGAAUGCGUAGAGAUCGGGAAGAAUACCCGUGGCGAAGGCGGCCAGCUGGGCCAGGUCCGACACUGAGGCGCGAAAGCGUGGGGAGCAAACAGG
rnacentral:rRNA from 1 species